AGUGGGAAGUAUUCUGGAUACCUUGGCAAGACCCAUGGGUCUUGCGUCAUAGCCUGAGAGAUAAAUCCUACAAUGAUUUAGGGGUCUGCCAUACUUAUGAAGAUUUUAGGGACUCAAUGGUUUGGGCUAUGCAGGGAUAUCCCCUUUAAGAUGCCAAGAACCUGGACAUCCUCCACCAGAACAAUCUCACAACAUGUCAAGUUUCCAGAGAUUGCUACUGCCUUCUUAAGCAGAUUUUCAAUGACCUAAGUUCCACUGGAAGUAGACCUAACAUAACUAGGAUGAACAGGAAACCUCUGAAUGUGAAAGUGAACACUAUUAAUACUUACAUGAAGGCAACAGGCAUGAACUGGAACAACCUUGGCCAUGCUGGGACGUAUGUUCACCCUAAGCAAAGUCUCAGGGCCUCUCCAUGUGUUUUCUCGAGCAAUGUGUUUGGUCUUCUGGAAUUAUGAUUCAUGGAUUCAAGAGACCACGGUAGAAGCUUCUAAUCCUCUUAAAAAGCAAGACUGAUCAUGGGAAACUGUCCUGUCCACUAGUACAUUAUUUCAAUCAGAGGAAGCUACUCUCUGAUUUGUAACCUACUUCUGUCUCCAGGACAACCAUAAGACCAAAGGACUCCUUGGACACCUAGUCAGGAGGGUGGUGAGUUGAACUGAGCAAGCUUGAGCAUCUCAAACUGAAGUGGACACUUGCGCUUUAUACAGAGUAAGGCCCAAAUUGAAUUAACCUGGAGUGAGUCUGCAACAAGCCUAGCGUCUGCAUUUCUAUAACUGAUCUCAGCUAACACUGGAGCUACUUAAAUUCCCAAUGAUUUUAGAAAACUAUUUUUUUUAAAGUGUGUGAUUUGAAGGUAAAUGAACCUAUUCCAAUUUAACUGCUUUAUUUUUGUGGUUGCAUAUAUAAUCAUAUUUAAGCAAUUUAAAAUCCAAACUCCCUUUUGGAGCUGUUUUAUUUUCUGAAGG
rnacentral:lncRNA from 1 species